ACUCCUACGGGAGGCAGCAGUAGGGAAUCUUCGGCAAUGGACGAAAGUCUGACCGAGCAACGCCGCGUGAGUGAAGAAGGUUUUCGGAUCGUAAAACUCUGUUGUUAGAGAAGAACAAGGGUGAGAGUAACUGUUCACCCCUUGACGGUAUCUAACCAGAAAGCCACGGCUAACUACGUGCCAGCAGCCGCGGUAAUACGUAGGUGGCAAGCGUUGUCCGGAUUUAUUGGGCGUAAAGCGAGCGCAGGCGGGUUUUUUAAGUCUUGAUGUGAAAGCCCCGGCUCAACCGGGGAGGGUCAUUGGAAAC
rnacentral:rRNA from 1 species